UUUUCAUUUGGUGAUCAGGACGGAACACAGAGGACGCACCAUGGAGUUUGGGCCGAGCUGGGUUUUUCUUGUUGCUAUUUUAAAAGGUGUCCAGUGUGAGGUGCAGCUGGUGGAGUCUGGGGGAGGCUUGGUCCAGCCUGGCGGGUCCCUGAGACUCUCCUGUGUAGCCUCUGGAUUCACCUUCAGUGACUACUGCAUGGACUGGGUCCGCCAGGCUUCAGGGAAGGGGCUGGAGUGGGUCUCAAGUAUUAGUGGUAGCAGUAGUAACACAUACUACCCAGACUCUGUCAAGGGCCGAUUCACCAUCUCCAGAGACAACGCCAAGAACACGCUGUAUCUGCAAAUGAACAGCCUGAGAGCCGAGGACACGGCUGUCUAUUACUGUGCGAGAGACACAUUCUGCUCUGAUAGAAUCUGGCCCACUCAUUUUAUCAUUGACAAUCUACCUAACCUAGAGUCAACUGAUGACAAACCUGUGCAUGCCGACAACUGUGUUUCUCAUUGCCCUCUUGGGCUUGUGAAGCCCUCACAGACCCUCUCCCUCAUCUGUGCUGUCUCUGCAUUCUCCAUCAAACCAGUGCUCCCUGCUGGAUCUGGAUCCAUCAGCCCGCAGGGAAGAAACCAGACUGGAUCAGGUGCACAGCUCAUGAGGGAGUGCACAACCUAA